GAUGAACGCUGGCGGCAUGCCUAAUACAUGCAAGUCGAGCGAACGGACGAGAAGCUUGCUUCUCUGAUGUUAGCGGCGGGCGGGUGUGUCACACGUGGAUCCCCUACCUAUAAUACUGGUAUAACUUCGGAAAUCCGGCGCUUAUACCGGAUAAUCUUUUGCACCGCAUGGUUCAAAGGUGAAAGACGGUCUUGCUGUCUCUUAUAGCUGGAUCCGCGCUGCAUUAGCUAGUUGGUAAGGUCACGGCUUACCAAGGCAAGGAUGCCUAGCCGAACUGAGGGGCUGAUAGGCCACACUGGAAGUGAGACACGGUCCAGACUCCUACGGGAGGGAGCAGUAGGGAAUCUGCCGCAAUGGGCGAAAGCCUGACGGAGCAACGCCGCGUGAGUGAUGAAGGUCUUGGGAUCGUAAAGCUCUGUUAUUGGGGAAGAACAGAUGUGUAAGGAACUGUGCACAGCGUGACGGUACCUAAUCAGAAAGCAACGGCUAACUACGUG
rnacentral:rRNA from 1 species